GGUCACUCUCACUCACUCUCGCGCUCUCGCCCACGAUACACGCGGCUUGCAAGCUCGGCGUCUAAUCAUUAGUAACGUGCCUAUAACCGAAAGCAACUGCCGCGCAAGUUAAAAUAUAUGGUGUCAGGCCUGAUGCCUCUGCAGCCCUCUGUCCGUUGCCCCAGAACGAAAAAAGGAGGCAAUCGGCAUGGGAUCGCCUCCUCAUCGCCUCUACUGAAAGGAAAAGCAUUUACCCAUCGAUUGGACUCCACAUUGAGAGGGUUCUGUGGCAUUUGACAUUCGACUUGCCCAAACACUGAAUGAUGAAUGGAAAAGCGCUUUGACCAGCAGGAGGUAUGGUUUUCAUAAUGAAGUGGAAGUGGCUCGAUGAAUGGGAAUCUACGCAUCUGUAAGCAUUUGUUUAUCUGCAACUUGGCGAUAGAUUCUGGGAAUUGGUUGAAAAUUAGAGUAAUAAAACGUAAAUUUCAUGAAUCGAAUGGAUGGGAGUGUGUGAAUAUGGAUUUACUAGUAUAUCUUCGAUAAUUUCGAACUUUAUCUGGUUUCUUCAAUGGUUCAACUUCACCUAUCAUAGAGUUGUACCCAUAAAUGUUUUAUAUUGUAAAAUAUGAAGUCCCUAUAUCUAUGAUUAAACGGAGUAUGCUGCCAAAAGCAAACAUAACUUAGAUUUCACAACACAAGAAAAUAUGCCCUUGGCCCAGCGUGGUGCGGCAGGCCUAGGGCGAGUUUAUAGCUCUGGCAAGAGGCGGCAAAAAACGCAUAAAAUUCGCAAAAUGGGAAGCCUUGAACUUGACCCAACCAAAAGGCAGAAGCGGCAGCACCAGCAACAGCAACAGCAGCAACCGGCAGCAGAAACAACAAUAACAAUAACAGAGGCACAGUGUCAGGGGACUGAGGGAGUCCAAA